rnacentral:rRNA from 1 species
UACGUGAAACCGUUCAGGGGUAAACGGGAGAAAUCCUGAAUUCGAAAGGGGUUGGAUUCAAGUCCUACCGUGUUGUCGGGCCACCCCAGCCAGAUGGCGCCGGUCGCCCGCGGCGAUUAAUUUCGCUUGCGGUGUCGUAACCGGCGAUCACUGCCUGGGUCGAGGCUCCGGUGCCGGAGGAGUGCACUUCCUCCCUAGUAGAAACGUCGCGACCCGUUGGGUGCCGGUCAAAGGCCCGGGAUGGCAGACCGCGCGUCCCGCGGGGGUUCUUCCUCGCGGGCGUGCGGACUCCUGGUGACCCGGCCGGCUGCCCGACGGUAUGACCAGAGGAGUCGAUCCGCUGAAUGGGAAACACUGUGGUUGUGUAGCGUCCGGCCCGGUGCCGAUGCGUGCGGGGAUUGAGGUGUAAACCGGGGGUGUUCCGUGCGAAGCACGGCCCCGGCCCCGCUGCGUCUUCGGUCGCCGGUGUCCUCGGACUGGAUCAGCACUCCCGUCUGCGACGCCCACCUUCGGAUGG